UACGGAGGGUGCAAGCGUUAUCCGGAUUCAUUGGGUUUAAAGAGUGCGUAGGCGGCUUGGUAAGUCAGUGGUGAAAUCCCCGAGCUUAACUCGGAAACUGCCUCUGAUACUGUUUGGCUUGAAUACUGUGGAGGUAAGCGGAAUAUGUCAUGGAACGGUGAAAUGGUUAAAUAUGAUGUAGAACACCCGUUGCGAAGGGAGCUUGUUUCGCGCGCAUUGGCGCUGAGGCACGAAAGCGUGGGGAUCAAACAGGAUUAGAUACCCUGGUAAUCCACGCCCUAAACGAUGAUUACUCGACAUCAGCGAUACGCUGUUGAUGUCUAAGCUAACGCAUUAGGUAAUCCACCUGGGAAGUGCGAUCGCGAGAUUGAGACUCAAAGGAAUUGGAGGUGAUCCGCACAAGCGGUGGAGCAUGUGGUUUAAUUCGAUGAUGCGCGAGGAACCUUACCAGGGCUAGAAUGUCAGGUGACCGUCGGUGAAAGCCGAUCGUAUAGCAAUAUGCACUUGCUCAGGUGGUGCAUGGCUGUCGUCAGCUCGUGUCGUGAGGUGUUGGGUUAAGUCCCGCAACGAGCGCAACCCCUAUCAUUAGUUGCCAUCAGGUAAAGCUGGGAACUCUAAUGAAACUGCCGUGGUAAGACGUGAGGAAGGAGGGGAUGAUGUCAAGUCAUCAUGGCCUUUAUGUCCUGGGCUACACACGUGCUACAAUGGUAGGUACAAAAGGUCGCGACACAGCGAGGUGAAGCUAAUCUCAAAAAAGCUAUCUCAGUUCAGAUCGCAGUCUGCAACUCGACUGCGUGAAGUUGGAAUCGCUAGUAAUCGUAUAUCAGCAAUGAUGCGGUGAAUACGUUCCCGGACCU
rnacentral:rRNA from 1 species